UACAGAGGUCUCAAGCGUUGUUCGGAUUCACUGGGCGUAAAGGGUGCGUAGGUGGUUGGGUAAGUUUGAUGUGAAAUCUCCGAGCUUAACUCGGAAAUGGCAUUGAAUACUAUCUGGCUAGAGGUUCGGAGGGGGGACUGGAAUUCUCGGUGUAGCAGUGAAAUGCGCAGAUAUCAGGAGGAACACCGGUGGCGAAGGCGGGACUCUGGGCCGAUACUGACGCUGAGGAGCGAAAGCGUGGGGAGCGAACAGG
rnacentral:rRNA from 1 species